CCUAUAAAAGGCCUGUGUAACCCUACAGACGGGGUCCAGAGUUUGAAGUGUUAACUCUUCUGGGUCGUUGGUGUGAUAAACCUGAGUUCCUCAUCUUUCCAAGUGCUGCUUGGUGUCUCGUAGGGAACCAGAUCAUGUUCCGUCUCUGAGCCUCAGCUUUCUCUCGCUGGGCUGGUAAUGCCUUUAAGGCUAAUAAAUACAGGCGUACCUUGGAGAUAACUUCGGGUUUGGUUCCAGACCACGGCAAUGAAGUGGUUACUGCCACAAAUUGGAUGUCACGUCAGCAAUGCCAUUUGAUGUCUUCUACCUCUUCUUUGGGUUUCGUCCAAUAUUUAGGACAUAUUUAAUAGGAUGUUAAAGACUGUUGAUGCCUAAAGUGAGAAAUGUGGCUGAAAACAUAAUCGUCUCUGGAAACAAGGAAACACUGGCAUUGAAGUUAACCCCAAAGUGU